rnacentral:rRNA from 1 species
AUACGGAGGGUGCAAGCGUUAUUCGGAAUCACUGGGCGUAAAGGACGCGUAGGCGGGUUGGCAAGUCAGAUGUGAAAUCCUACAGCUUAACUGUAGAACUGCAUUUGAAACUGCUAACCUAGAGUAUGGGAGGGGGAGAUGGAAUUAGUGGUGUAGGGGUAAAAUCCGUAGAUAUCACUAGGAAUACCGAAAGCGAAGGCGAUCUCCUGGAACAUAACUGACGCUAAGGCGUGAAAGCGUGGGGAGCAAACAGGAUUAGAUCCCCUGUAGUCC